AUUGAACGCUGGCGGCAGGCCUAACACAUGCAAGUCGAGCGGAUGAAGGGAGCUUGCUCCUGGAUUCAGCGGCGGACGGGUGAGUAAUGCCUAGGAAUCUGCCUGGUAGUGGGGGAUAACGUCCGGAAACGGGCGCUAAUACCGCAUACGUCCUGAUGGUGAAAGGGGGGGAUCUUCGGACCUCACGCUAUCAGAUGAGCCUAGGUCGGAUUAGCUAGUUGGUGGGGUAAAGGCCUACCAAGGCGACGAUCCGUAACUGGUCUGAGAGGAUGAUCAGUCACACUGGAACUGAGACACGGUCCAGACUCCUACGGGAGGCAGCAGUGGGGAAUAUUGGACAAUGGGCGAAAGCCUGAUCCAGCCAUGCCGCGUGUGUGAAGAAGGUCUUCGGAUUGUAAAGCACUGUUAGUUGGGAGGAAGGGCAGUAAGUUAAUACCUUGCUGUUUUGACGUUACCAACAGAAUAAGCACCGGCUAACUUCGUG
rnacentral:rRNA from 1 species